CCAAUAGCGUAUAUUAAAGUUGUUGCAGUUAAAAAGCUCGUAGUUGAACCUCGGGAUCUACCCAUUGGUCAGGCUUAAUUGUCUGUACUGGUGAGAUGGAUCUCUACCUUCUGAGGAACUUUCAUGCCAUUUAUUUGGUGUGAUGGGAAAUCAGGACUGUUACUUUGAAAAAAUUAGAGUGUUUAAAGCAGACUAUCGUCUGAAUACAUUAGCAUGGAAU
rnacentral:rRNA from 1 species